GGCGAGCUGGCCGAGCGGUCUAAGGCGCCAGACUAAGGAUCUGGUCCGAAAGGGCGUGGGUUCGAAUCCCACUCUCGUCA
rnacentral:tRNA from 1 species